rnacentral:rRNA from 2 species
AAACGACUCUCGGCAACGGAUAUCUCGGCUCUUGCAUCGAUGAAGAACGUAGCGAAAUGCGAUACUUGGUGUGAAUUGCAGAAUCCCGUGAACCAUCGAGUCUUUGAACGCAAGUUGCGCCCGAAGCCACUAGGCCGAGGGCACGCCUGCCUGGGUGUCACAC